rnacentral:rRNA from 1 species
GCACCGGCUAACUACGUGCCAGCAGCCGCGGUAAUACGUAGGGUGCAAGCGUUAUCCGGAUUUACUGGGUGUAAAGGGCGAGUAGACGGGAUUUUAAGUUAGAUGUGAAAACUUAGGGCUCAACCUUAAGACUGCAUCUAAAACUGAUUUUCUUGAGUGCUGGAGAGGUAAGCGGAAUUCCUAGUGUAGCGGUGGAAUGUGUAGAUAUUAGGAAGAACACCAGUGGCGAAGGCGGCUUACUGGACAGUAACUGACGUUGAGGCGCGAAAGUGUGGGGAGCAAACAGGAUUAGAUACCCUGGUAGUCCACACCGUAAACGAUGGAUACUAGGUGUUGGCAAGCGAUUGUCAGUGCCGGCGCUAACGCAAUAAGUAUCCCACCUGGGGAGUACGACCGCA